rnacentral:lncRNA from 10 species
CUCCAGUCAACUUCUCGUUCCAAACUCAUUCUACAUACACUUCGAAGGGAGGCUGAAGAAGCUGAAGGCGAUGUCUGUACAGCUACUUAUUUAUUUGAUGCUUACUUAAUUUGUACUUAUUUUACAUGGGGUAGCAAAAAUUAUGCUGCAAUGCCAUUGUGAGUGCCCCAUUCACACAGUUGGCUAUCCAGCAAUAUUUAUGGAUCAUUCCCAGGGAUGAAAGCACCUGUCAUCAAUCCUAUGCACUAACAUGGACGGGUCUCCACUGGACUCUGAGCUGCGCCCCAGCCAUGACCUUCCUCUCUGUAAGGUGACACUGCGGAGGGUGCCUCAGAGCAGCAUCACUGCUUUGGACACAGCUUGUGCGCCCCAGGAUGGGGUCUACCCAACCUCUCUCUUGGAUCUUGAUUUCCUUCCAGAUUGAGAGCACAGUGGCCACAGCAGUCCCAGCAUUUCUUAAAUCCCGGACUGUCUUGCUUUUUUCAAGGCGAGAUCUGGGGCCCUGCUUAGUCCUUAUUCCCAUUUCCCAGGGCUUUACCGCAGGUCCCUUGAGUUUGGUGCCAUGAGGAUUCCAGGGCCGAUUUCCAACCUGGCAGCAUCUGAAGGGGCUCUGGACCCUUCUGUCAUAUGACCUGAGGCGGAUUUCAGGCAACAGUGGAGUCUGAGAGGGUUGACUCUCUCUAAGACAAGGCAGAACUGGGCACACCCACGGUUAAUCCAAGACAGUGUGGCCCUGUACCUCCUGGGCCCUCCCAAUUACAGCUAAAACAUUGCAGCAUCUCAGAAGCAUGGGGAGUCCCUGAAAGGAAGAAAGAAGGAGGUGGGCACCCUGGAGGCCUCUGCUCAGCACCUUCCAUGAUCAAUCUCUCAGCAUCAGUAUAGUGUGAUGUCCCCAGCACACAUGUGGCAUAGAAGGAAGAUGGUGGGUGCCUCCGCUCAGCACCCUCCAUGAUCAAGCUGUGAGCAUCAGUAUAGUGUGAUGUCCCCAGCACACAUGUGGCACAGAAGGAAGAUGGUGGGUGCCCUGGAGGCCUCCGCUCAGCAUCUUCCAUGAUCAAGCUCUCAGCAUCAGUAUAGUGUGAUGUCCCAGCACACAUGUGGCACAGAAGGAAGAUGGUGGGUGCCCUGGAGGCUUCUGCUCAGCACCUUCCAUGAUCAAGCUCUCAGCAUCAGUAUAGUGUGAUGUCCCAGCACACAUGUGGCACAGAAGGACACAUGGCAGCCCCACAGCCAGAUCACACUCAAUAGUGAAGGGCUGAGAGCUUUCCCUCUAACAUCGAGAGCAAGGGUAGGCUGCCCUCCACCAAACACACACUUCUAUUCAGCAUCAAAGUGGAAGAGCUGGCCAGAGCAAUCAGGCAAGAAAAGGAAAUAAAAGGCAUCCAAAGACAAAAAGAAGUAGUUAAAUUGUCUGUUUUCUGAUGACAUGAUCUAAUGUAUAGAAAACCCGAAAGACUCCACCAAAAAACUAUUAGAACCGACAAAUAUCUUAUAACAUUUGUUUCUCUUUAGUAAUAGUAUUUAAAUUUCAUAAUUUUCAUAUUAAACUUUUAAUAACAUUUCUGUAUAUUCUAUUGGACUUUUAAUACAGAAUUAUAUGCACUGGAUAAUGAGGGUGUUAUUCCUUUUUGCAAAAGCUGAUAGAUUUCAUUAUUUUUUUCUUCCUUUAUUAAAUGGGUUAGCACUUCAGCAAUGUACAGAAUAAAUGUGAGCAGAGAAGGCAUCCUCAUCUUGAUUGAGUGAGAAAGAUUUCAACAUUUCUCCAACAAAUAUCAUGAUUCCAUUAUUUUGUAUAUACCCUUUCCUUAAGAUGAAGGGUAUUUAAUUAGAUUUUUAGAAUGCUAUUUUAAAAUUAAUUAUGAAUGACUUUUUAACUAUAUCAAUUUCAUUGUUUAAGGAUAUUUGAAUUUAUAUUCAUGAAUGAGUUUGGUCUGUAU